rnacentral:rRNA from 1 species
UACGUAGGUGGCAAGCGUUGUCCGGAUUUACUGGGCGUAAAGGGCGUGCAGGCGGUUUGUUAAGUCUAGGGUGAAAGCUCCCGGCUCAACUGGGAGAGGUCCUUGGAUACUGGCAGACUUGAGGAGGGUAGAGGAGAGUGGAAUUCCCGGUGUAGUGGUGAUAUGCGUAGAUAUCGGGAGGAACACCGAUGGCGAAGGCAGGUCUCUGGGCCAUAACUGACGCUGAGAAGCGAAAGCAUGGGGAGCGAACAGG